GCGGCGGACGGGUGAGUAACGCGUGGGUAACCUACCCCAAAGUCCGGGAUAACAGCGGGAAACCGCUGCUAAUACCGGAUGCCUUUACCUUGGGGCAUCUUGAGGUAAAGAAAGGUAACGCUUUGGGAUGGGCCCGCGUCCCAUUAGCUAGUUGGUGAGGUAACGGCUCACCAAGGCGACGAUGGGUAGCCGGCCUGAGAGGGUGGACGGCCACACUGGGACUGAGACACGGCCCAGACUCCUACGGGAGGCAGCAGUAGGGAAUAUUGCGCAAUGGACGGAAGUCUGACGCAGCGACGCCGCGUGAGCGAUGAAGGUCUUCGGAUCGUAAAGCUCUGUCCUUGGGGAAGAAGGUCUUCGGACUUGACGGUACCCAAGAAGAAAGCCCCGGCUAACUACGUGCCAGCAGCCGCGGUAAUACGUAGGGGGCGAGCGUUGUCCGGAAUUACUGGGCGUAAAGGGUGCGUAGGCGGCCCUUUAAGUCGGAUGUGAAAGCCCGCG
rnacentral:rRNA from 1 species